UUCCAGCUCCAAUAGCGUAUAUUAAAGUUGUUGCGGUUAAAAAGCUCGUAGUUGAAUCUGUGUCCCGCGCUGUCGGUUCACCGCCCGCGGUGUUAACUGGCAUGUCUUGCGGGACGUCCUGCCGGUGGACGCGUCGUACGUCCGUGUAUUCAUUCGUCUUGAACGGUGUUGCACGUGGCGUGCGCCGUCCGACUUACGAAUCCUGUCGCGGUGCUCUUAAUUGAGUGUCGAGGCGGGCCGGCACGUUUACUUUGAACAAAUUAGAGUGCUCAAAGCAGGCUAAAAUUUCGCCUGAAUACUGUGUGCAUGGAAUAAUAGAACAGGACCUCGGUUCUAUUUUGUUGGUUUUCGGAACCCCGAGGUAAUGAUUAAUAGGGACAGAUGG
rnacentral:rRNA from 1 species